UUUCGUUGUGCCGAAGCAUCGUUACGUAUUUCGUUUAGUCCUGCAAAGAAUAUUACUUUUCUGGCAUAAUUAUCGUAUUUUUGGUUUAUGAUGCCACAUCAUUCCAAGAAGAAACGAUCUAGGUCACGAUCUAGCGACGAUCGUCGACAUAAGCGACAGCGGGAAGAGCUUAAUCUUAUACAACGUAGGUUAGAUAACCUAACACAGGUUAUGGAGACGUUGGUACAUGUUCAACCGGAACAGAAACUACAUGAUCACUCUACCGAUGUUGCAAUUGAUGAUGCUCAGGUCAUUGAAGUCGAUGACAGUAUUUCAAGAUCAAGGGAUUCGAAUAUUGAGGUCGAGGGAAAUAUCCAACACUCGACUAACGAUAUUCCUAAGGAAUCAACAUUACGAGAUAAUGUUUUGAAAGUGUUAGGCGUGGAUUUAAAUGAAUCUAAAUUCAAGGAGGUUAAAUAUCACCCGGAAUUAUUAGAUGCGUGGUCUAAAUGGAUAAAGCAAGGUCUUCCAGCGAAAAACAAACAAGAACUUCUGGAACUUUACAAUCGUAAAGAAGAUUUAUACACAGAAGCUCCCAAGGUGAAUUUAGAAAUUAUCCCGCUCCUUUCGGAUAUUACCAAGAAGAGAGACCAGCAUUUUUUAGAGACGCAGAAUUGCGUGGGCACAGCCUUAGCCGCCCUAGGCGUUGCGGUUUCUAUGCUCAUAGAUCCGCCAGAAGACGGUCUGGAUGAAGAUACCUUUAUGGAUUAUUUGAGCCACGCUGGUCAGGUCCUGACGGAUGUGUUCUAUCAACAGUCCGUAGCUCGCAAAUCGUUCAUCACACCGCAGCUAAAUAAAAAUAUUAAACCAACGGCGGAUGCGAUGAUUUCUGACGAGUGGCUUUAUGGCAAUAAUCUUAAGGAUAAAGUCAAGGAUGCAAAGAAAAUUGAAAAGGCCUGCGCAGAAAUUAAGGAUAAACCACAAAAGAAAAGUUUCCUGAAAUUUAAUCGGGGAAACUUGAAAUACCCACCUGCGAUGUAUCGACAGGUGGGUUAUCAACAGAAACGACGUCUGUUCAAGUUCAAGAAACGAGCUCCUCAGAAGGCAUCGUAGAGUGCAUCCAAGACGAAUUCUCAAACGACGCAAUCUCCAUCCAAGAAAUAAGCAGAGGCAAGCACCAUCCGUUAGCUCUCCACCUUUCGUUGGUGGCAGGCAAAUUAUCAGGACGGCAUUCUUGAAGAAAGGAGUCAGCGAAGCGUCGGUGGAUGUGAUGGUUGAUUCCAUUACAAAGUCUACACUUAAGCAAUAUGAGUGUAAUCUGCGAAGUUGGUGGUAUUAUGCACACACUAACGGUUUCGAUAUUUUUCAUCCGAAAACUUCAGAUAUUAUUGAUUUUCUCAAUCACAGAUUUCAAGAGGGUGCAAAGUAUAGUACGUUAAAUACUGCACGAGCAUCUAUCUCUUUAAUUGCUAGUUCUGAUAUAAACGCGGAUGGGUUGAUCUCGCGUUUUUUACGAGGCGUGUUCAAGCAAAGACCAACUAAACCUAAGUACUCUACAACCUGGAAUGUUACUCCCGUUUCACAUUAUAUUGAAAGACUUCACCCUCUUAAACAAUUGAAGUUUAAGGAUACGGCUGAAAAAGUGGCCACGCGUUUAGCGUUAACAACUGCGCAGUGAUUACAGACUUUAGCUUUAAUAAGACUUGAGAAUAUUUCGGUGUUUAAUUUCGGUCUUAGUAUAAAAAUUACGGAUCAAAUCAAGACCUCAAGCCAGGCAGUUUUCAGUCCGAAUUAAUAUUACCUUUUUACAAAGAGAAGCCGGGCUUGUGUGUGGCAUCGGCAAUACUAGACUAUAUUGAACUUACCAAAGAUUUACGACAUCAACGUAUAAGAAAUCUAUUCAUUGCUACUACUAAGCCCUUUAACGCAGUAACCGCACAAACAAUUGGACAUUGGGUUAAAGCACUUCUAGGCAAGGCUGGCAUUGACACUAACCAAUUUACGGCAUACAGCACCCGACAUGCGGCAGUAUCCGCAGCGCAUUCGAGAGGAGUAGAUAUUGCUACUAUUAGAAGAUGUGCUGGAUGGGCUUCUGGAUCUCAAACCUUUUUCAAGUUCUAUAAUAGGCCUAUUCAAGCACCUAAUGAUCAAUUUGCGCGGUCAAUUUUACAGUAGCGAUAGGUAUAGAUAAGUAUCUAUAAGUACAUAUAAGCGAAUAUCUGUAUCUAAGUAUACAAAUGUGUAAUUGCAUAACACAAUGUAAUGAGAAUUCUCACAAGCUCUAAAACACUACAAUAUUAUCAUCGAGAACGAGACGUGCAAUAUAAUUGCAAGAUCAAACGAGCCCGCCGAAGGCGGGCGAAGUUUGAUCGAAAUUAUAUGAAACGUCUCGUUCGAAGAUGAUAGUCUCCCACCCUUGGAAUACCCGAUAAGACUACGCAUGAAUUAAUACUUACGCCCGCUAUCAUCUUUCGAUUAAGUUGUGAUAAUUCUCAGUUCGUUACACAAAACAAUAUGAAGAUAAGAGGAAGUUAUCCUAGGGAUAAGAUGGCGGAGGGCGCCAAAUAUCAAAUUUACUAGACGCUAAACGUUGUGAUGUUAGGCAUGACGAGCAUGACUACAAUAUUAUCAUCUUCGAACGAGACGUUUCAUAUAAUUUCGAUCAAACUUCGCCCGCCUUCGGCGGGCUCGUUUGAUCUUGCAAUUUUGCUUGUCGCUUUUUACGGCCCACCGAAAGAUACGCGGUGCGUCUGCAAAUGAGCUACGUCGCUCGUAAGUAUUCACAAGUAAGUCUAGGUAUGUUCCUCGACUUUGAAAUCUAACCUUUUGCAACCGAUUUAGACCAAUGCUUCAUGAUCAUUCCUGGCUGGUCAAAACGUCUGCAAAUUCCAUUUCCAAGUCGAGGGACAUACUUAUCUUACUUGUCAAGCGAUUGUUCCCCGAUUUAGCUGCGGCGAAGGUUUAAAGAUCUACUGACGCGCCUUCCUUGAGUCUUUUUCAUAAUUUUUUCCUGUUUUUUUUUUCA